AACGAACGCUGGCGGCAUGCCUAACACAUGCAAGUCGAACGAGACCUUCGGGUCUAGUGGCGCACGGGUGCGUAACGCGUGGGAAUCUGCCCCUUGGUUCGGAAUAACAGUUAGAAAUGACUGCUAAUACCGGAUGAUGACUUCGGUCCACAGAUUUAUCGCCAAGGGAUGAGCCCGCGUAGGAUUAGGUAGUUGGUGGGGUAAAGGCUCACCAAGCCGACGAUCCUUAGCUGGUCUGAGAGGAUGAUUAGCCACACUGGGACUGAGAAACGGCCCAGACUCCUACGGGAGGCAGCAGUGGGGAAUAUUGGACAAUGGGCGAAAGCCUGAUCCAGCAAUGCCGCGUGAGUGAUGAAGGCCUUAGGGUUGUAAAGCUCUUUUACCAGGGAUGAUAAUGACAGUACCUGGAGAAUAAGCUCCGGCUAACUCCGUGCCAGCCGCCGCCGUAA
rnacentral:rRNA from 1 species